rnacentral:rRNA from 1 species
CGGUUAAAAAGCUCGUAGUUGGAUCUCGGCAAGUAGAGGGCGGUAUGCUUCGUAGCAUUACUGCCCUAUUACUUGUAGUUUUGCCAGAGGUUCCUGGGUGCUCUUAAUCGAGUGUCUAGGGAUGCUGGCAGGUUUACUUUGAAAAAAUUAGAGUGCUCAAAGCAGGCUAUUACGCUUGAAUAUUCGUGCAUGGAAUAAUAGAAUAGGAAGUUGUUUCUAUUUUGUUGGUUUUCGGAAAUCGACUUAAUGAUUAAUAGGGACAGUCGGGGGCAUUUGUAUUCAAACGACAGAGGUGAAAUUCUUGGACCGUUUGAAGACAAACUACUGCGAAAGCAUUUGCCAAGAAUGUUUUCAUUAAUCAAGAACGAAAGUUAGAGGUUCGAAGGCGAUUAGAUACCGCCCUAGUUCUAACCAUAAACGAUGCCAGCUAGCGAUCUGAGGACGUUUUUUUUGUAGACUCCUCAGGAAGCUUCCGGGAAACCAAAGCGUGUGGGUUCCGGGGGAAGUAUGGUUGCAAAGCUGAAACUUAAAGGAAUUGACGGAAGGGCACCACCAGGAGUGGAGCCUGCGGCUUAAUUUGACUCAACAUGGGAAAUCUCACCAGGCCCGGACACUGGAAGGAUUGACAGAUUGAGAGCUCUUUCUCGAUUCGGUGGGUGGUGGUGCAUG